AGCUUCCUAGUUCUUACUGCAGGCUGUGUUCAUAUACCGACUGUAUAGAAAGAGGAAAAAGGUAAACCCCAUUGACACUCCAGCCUAACCCUGUAUGUAGUCAGUAUUUUGACUAGGGAAACACGA